UUACACUUACUAAUGUAAAGCAGUCAGACGGUCAGAUUUAAUUCAGCUUCACCUUCAUUUUUACUACAUUUGCUUCAUAUUUUCAAAAUGUUGUAUUGGAAAAUGGACAGUAAAGCCCAUUCUGCCCUAAUUUCCUAGCAAAAAUGUGUUUCUGUAAUCUACCACUGAGUUGUAAUGUCAUACAUCAUCCAUCCUUUGAUAUGACAUCCUCCAUGAUAAUUUAGACCACAAUGGGAAUGAGGGUAGUUACUAGUUAGUGGUCAAAAAAGAGAGAAGAGACCAGAUGAGACGAGACAUGCCAAUUAAGAGACAAGAGCAAUACAAUUAAUUGUAAUGAGAUAAAUUAGACGAGGUGAGAUGAGACUAAACAAGACAAGAGACGAGAAAAGAUGAGGUGAGAUGAGACAAGACAAGACUAAACAAGACAGGACAAGAGACGAGAAAAGAUGAGGUGAGAUGAGACAAGACAAGACUAAACAAGACAAGAUACGAGAAAAGAUAAGGUGAGAUAAGACAAGACAAUACAAAACAAGGCAAGAGACGAGAAAAGAUGAGGUGAGAUGAGACAAGACUAGACAAAACAAGGCAAGAGACAAGAAAAGAUGAGGUGAGAUGAGACAAGACUAGAAGAAACCAGACAAGAGACAAGUUAAUGCGAGGUGAAAUGAGACAAGACUAGCCAAAACAAGACAAGAGAUGAGAUAAGGCAAGGUGAGAUAAAACUAGUCAAAACAAGACGAGAGGUGACAAGGCGAGGUGAGAUGAGACGAGACUAGACUAGAUGAAACAAAACAAGAGAUGAGAAAAGAUGAGAUGAGACGAGUUAAUGCGAGGGGAGAUGAGAGUUGAGAUGGAACAAGUCAAAACAAGACAAGGUGGGAUGAGACUAGAUGAAACAAGACAGGAGAUGGGAAAAGCCAAGGUGACAUGAGACUAGACGAAACAAGACAGGAGAUGAGAAAAGAUGAGGUGAGAUGAGAGGAGAAUAAAUGAAACAAGACAAGAGACGAGAAAAGAAGUAGUGAGAUGAGAGGAGACUAGACAAAACUAGACAAGAGACAAGAAAAGACGAGGUGAGAUGAGAGGAGAAUAAAUGAAACAAGACAAGAGACGAGAAAAGAAGUAGUGAGAUGAGAGGAGACUAGACAAAAUCAGACAAGAGAUGAGAAAAGACGAGGUGAGAUGAGAGGAGACUAGACAAAAUCAGACAAGAGAUGAGAAAAGACGAGGUGAGAUGAGACAAGACUUAACAAAACCAGACAAGAGACGAGAAAAGACGAGGUGAGAUGAGACAAGACUAAACAAAACCAGACAAGAGAAAUACAAGGUGAGAUGAGAGGAGACUAGACAAAACCAGACAAGAGAUGAGAAAAGAAGAGGUGAGAUGAGAGGAGAAUAAAUGAAACAAGCAAGAGACGAGAAAAGACGAGGUGAGAUGAGAGCAUGCCCAGUGAUGGUCACGUGAUCCACGUUUUCAUUCGUUUUAAUGUGGAUGGAGAUCAAUUGUAAUACAGAGAUCGUACUCGUUUUAAUUAUCCGUUUUUAAACGAAAAUGCAGUAGUGUGGACGGGGGGGCUUAGAGAAAGAGAAAAGAAAGGGAAAGGAAAGGAAGGAGGGGUGAAGAGAAGAGACAAGAUGAGAUGAGGCAAGAUCAAAUGAAUUAAGUGAGAUGAUAUUUGAUUAAACCAGAACAGAAGAUAAAUAGAUGAGAGUGAGACCAGAUGAGAUAACACAAAAUGAAACUAAAACAGAAAAAAAA